GCCCGUGGUUAUUACAAGGAUCCAAAAGAAGUUAUUUAGUCAUUUUAUCAGGCAAAAAAUCUCAAAAUGGUGCAGUCGUUUAUAUUUAGGUAUGUAGUAGCAGCCAAGAAAAUUGGCCAUGUCCUCACCCUGCUAGACAUUAUAUUCCAUCCUAACUGUCACCACGAAUACUACAAUGCCCCGGGGGCAUUCUGUGCAGUGUGGAACACGUGUUCCAGUCUCUGGGGUUUCACUGUUCUUUUCUCAAAGUUUCUUGAGGGUUUUUCUCAUCUCUCCAUAGGAGAUACCACACGGCUCUGCCAAUAGGUGGUGAACUUCGUGCUUGCACCCUGCCCCAACACUGCAGGUCUGCAAAGUGCCACUGUCGUUAAGCCAAAGGCCUCUCUUUCUCUCUUCUUUCAUCUAGGGCCAUGAACUCGAACGGUGCUCCUUGCUGUGUUGCCGGAGAAUCUUCUGAACACCAAACUUGAUCUCAAAACUGAAAUGUCCAACACCUAGAAGUGGUGUCUAUUGAUAGCAAAAACCUCAAAUUUGUUUUCAAGGUUUACACUGCAUGCUGUGAAAGGUGACGUCCCUCGCAGUAAUACAGCAUGGAACUCCUUGGGCUGCAUAGGAAGUCCCUCCUACAGACAAGGACAAGAAGAGGACAAAGAAGAAACAAUGAUAAAUCUGAGCAGAUGACAGUGACCAUUCAGCAAACAAGGUGGUGCCCCCCCAUAACACAGAGUAUUUGUUGGUUACAUAUAGCACAGUGCUCAGUCAAUGCAGGCUGUGUUAACAAAAGCUCACCAAUUCACUGGUCACAUGUCCUAGGAGUUAUGGGAGACUGGAAAGUUGCCUGGUUCAUAUGGGGUGUGCAUAUACAUAUAUAAAAUCUUAUGAAUUUACAUGUGCAUUUGUGUCUGUGUACCGUGACUCUGUUUUAUAAUCAGCAAUGAUCGUUUGCUCCUUGAGGCUGGCAUCCUGUGUGUACUUGGGCGGACUCCAUUGCGUUUUAUUUCAGGAGAGCUCCUGUAAUGUGAAAAGUGCAUCUUUAUGAGGAAAGUUAGACCUGCAGAAGGACACACAUUCUUCUCCUCGACUGGGCUUACAUCCCUGCGGCCAUUGGCCCCCCCAGCUCUCGUGCCAGGCACAGCGAGCAAUGCUGCAGACAGGCUGAUGGAUCCUUGUUUUGCCCUUGGAGCUGCCAGCGAGAGCACACUCAGAUUCUAUUCGACAACAAACCAACAGGAUGUUUCUUAUUGCUACAGAAAGCUCCAGAAGAGUAGAUCCAGAGUGCACCGUUUUUGCAGUUGCCUGAUUUGAGAGGUGGGGCGGACCCAGGGCUUUCUGGGCUUGAUGUGGCAGAAGCCACCAGGUUGUACCAGGCAGGCCGUGCCACAGACCUCUGAGUACUUGCUUCCCUCACGACAGGUGUGUACAUCUGCAGUGCAGAUUAUGCAUGGGGCACAUUGUUAUUUGUUUCUUUUCUGCCUGGAAAAAUAUUUUCCUUUUAUGUAGCUCAGUGUCAUCUAAAUGAAUGAGUGCUGCCUUUCUGUCAUUUUGAAGCACAAGUAGAUUCUGCAGACACAUAUUGCAGCACGUAGCAUUCAGUGUUUAAGCUGUCUGUUUGAGCUCUACCCGAACACCGUGGCCUUGAGAUGAAUGCGUU
ensembl:lncRNA